rnacentral:rRNA from 1 species
GAUGAACGCUGGCGGCGUGCCUAACACAUGCAAGUCGAGCGAGAAACCUGCAAUUGAAACUUCGGUAGAUUUUGCGGGCGGAAAGCGGCGGACGGGUGAGUAACGCGUAGGCAACCUGCCCUUUGCAGAGGGAUAGCAACGGGAAACUGUUAUUAAAACCUCAUAAUACCGACAUUUCAAAUGACAAGACGGUCAAAGAUUUAUCGGCAAAGGAUGGGCCUGCGUCUGAUUAGUUAGUUGGUAGGGUAAAGGCCUACCAAGGCAGCGAUCAGUAGCCGACCUGAGAGGGUGAUCGGCCACAGUGGAACUGAGACACGGUCCAAACUCCUACGGGAGGCAGCAGUGGGGAAUAUUGCACAAUGGGCGAAAGCCUGAUGCAGCAACGCCGCGUGAAGGAUGAAGGCCUUUGGGUCGUAAACUUCUGUCCUUGGGGAAGAAAAAAAUGACGGUACCCCUGGAGGAAGUCCCGGCUAACUACGUGCCAGCAGCCGCCGUAA